UUGGUUUGUAUGUUGAUUGUGGUUCUAUCUACGAAGCUCCUUAUUUCCAUGGAGCAACGCAUUUGCUUGAGAGGAUGGCUUUCAAGAGCACGAGAAACAGGAGCCAUCUACGUCUCGUGAGGGAGAUUGAGGCUAUUGGAGGCAACACCUCCGCAUCUGCGUCUCGGGAGCAGAUGAGUUACACUAUUGAUGCUCUUAAGACCUAUGUCCCUGAAAUGGUUGAAGUUCUUAUUGACAGUGUGAGGAACCCUGCUUUCUUGGAUUGGGAAGUCAACGAAGAGGUGAUUCUCUUUUUUUCUCCUUUGUGGUUAUUUUAGUAACUCUUGUGAAAUUAUUUAUGUGACGUAUUGUCUUGUGGUUAUUUGGCAGCUACGUAAGAUGAAGCUAGAGAUAGCGGAACUUGCAAAGAACCCUAUGGGCCUUCUCAUGGAGGCCGUUCACUCUGCUGGUUAUUCCGGUGCAUUGGCGAAUCCUCUCUACGCACCUGAGUCUGCUUUGGACAGAUUGAAUGGGGAACUCUUGGAGGAGUUUAUGGCUGUAAGACCGCAUCAGCUUUUGAGAAUCUAUGUGAUUAAUGUCCUUAUUUGCUUACUCAUUUGAUAUGGGAAUUUCAGGAGAAUUUCACUGCUGCACGUAUGGUGCUGGCGGCAAGUGGAGUUGAACACGAGGAACUUUUAAAAGUUGUUGAGCCGUUGACUUCAGACCUUCCUAAUGUACCGCGCCAGGCGGAACCAAAAUCUCAGUAUACUGGUGGAGAUUUCCGCCAACAUACUGGUGGAGAGGUAAUCAUGACAGAUUUGCUUUCAUUGAACAAGUGUGUUUGAGAUGAAAGUGUAUUUAUGUCACAAUACUACGUGAGCUUAUUCUGUUCUGUCAUCUUCAGGCUACGCACUUUGCUCUCGCCUUUGAGGUUCCUGGCUGGAAUAACGAGAAAGAAGCAGUCAUCGCCACUGUUCUCCAGGUUUAACUUGAAUAUUUAAUGUUUGCUUGUGUCAAAAAUAUUUACUUGUUUUAAUCAAAUUCUAUUGACUGAAUAUAAUUUAAUUCGAAUUGCUAUUAGAUGCUUAUGGGAGGAGGUGGGUCGUUCUCUGCUGGAGGCCCUGGAAAAGGAAUGCACUCAUGGCUAUGUAAGUCAAUUCUUGUGUUUAUAUCGCUUUCUUGAGCUUUCUGUUUUCACGUUUGUUGAACUAGUUCAUUAGUUCUCAACCGAUCAGUAAUAGUGAUAAAAAUUCCUAUGUCUGUUUUUACAGAUCUCCGUAUUCUUAACGAAUACCAGCAAGUGCAGUCAUGCACUGCUUUCAGUAGCAUCUUUAACAACACCGGGUUGUUUGGAAUCUAUGGUUGCUCGGUUAGUUUAAGCAAUCCUGAUCUAUGCUCUUCCUUAUAAAUCAACUAUCCACUUAAUCUCAUUGAUUAUAGUUGUAAUUUGUGUGGGUAUUAAUACCUUCAACUUUAAGGAAUAUCGAUUUUGUGGGGGUAUUAGGCUAUGUCUUGUUUGUGUGACUUGACGACUUCUUUGCUUCAUAUGUGUUCUAGUACAUAUUUUGAUACGAUUUACAUCCAUGAGUGCAGAGUCCCGAGUUCGCUGCAAAAGCAAUUGAAUUAGCAGCUAAAGAAAUGAAAGAUGUUGCCGGAGGAAAAGGUUUGCAGUUUGUUUCUUCUGUUUUCUCCUAUUAUAAUCUUAACAAGUCGAAGCCGUUGUUUACAUCUGUUUAUUUGUUUGGACAGUUAAUCAGAAGCAUCUUGAUCGCGCCAAGGCAGCCACAAAAUCUGCAGUUCUGAUGAAUUUGGAAUCACGGGUAUUCUCACUACGAUCAAACCGUUUUGCUUGAAAAGCAUGUUUGUACGAUUCGAACCGAUUAGAUUUUACUAACGAGUUAAUGUAUGUCCUAUGCAGAUGAUUGCAGCAGAAGACAUUGGCAGGCAAAUUCUUACAUACGGAGAGAGGUACACGCAAAUGUCUUUUAGAAAAGAAAAAAAAUUAAAAACAGCGUAGUAUUCUUCUUGCGCAUACCCGUGUGUUUAUAAAUGAAUAAAUAUUGCAGGAAACCAGUUGAGCAAUUCCUGAAGACAGUUGAUGGACUAACCUUGAAGGACAUUACAGAUUUCACCAGCAAGAUUAUCUCAAAGCCUUUGACAAUGGGUUCCUUCGGAGAUGGUAAACAAGUUUUCACUCUUUUCUUACUAGUUUUAUAUACGUUUUUAAUGUCAAAAAAGUCAAGAUUUUGUGUUCUUUCUUUUGGCAGUGUUGUCUGUUCCUAGCUACGACACCAUAAGCAGCAAGUUUUCUUGAAGCAGCAAACAAGUUGCGAGAAAAUCAACAUUACUUUGGGACAUGUAAAAUAAAGAAGGAUGUUUGGGAAAAGAAGACUGGACCAUUUAAAAUUUCUAUUUCUUACGAAAUGGAUUUUGUUUCCAUCUACAGUUGAAAUGGCUGGCAUUUUUCCUGUCCGUCUCUCCAACUUUCAAGAAUUAUUUGUAUUCCAAUAAUUAUUUUUUCACAACUUCAUGCAGUUAUGCUACUUACUGUAUGUCAUUUUUCACAAUUUGUUUUACUUGGUUGAACAUGAAACAGAUAUCUUUUGGACAUGGUAGCUCGUGUGUAAUUUGACAAGUAGUAGCCGACGGUAACGACGAAAAUUUGUUUAUGGAACUGCAGUUAUCGACCGUCGAAUGAUGAUCUGCAACUCUAUGACUACAUUUAAUAGGGCACAACUCUAACCCUCAUCUCUAAAGGAAGAAUCAAAUGCUGAAAAGUGAAAACACUUCUCUUCUUGUCUCGAUUUUCAAGUUUAUUGUUCGUUUUAUCAAACUUGUAAUAUGUCAUUUUAAAAAUAGGGAGAAUUUGUGAAAUAACCAAGAAAAAAACCAAAAUUAGAUUUUUAGAGAGAGGGAUGAGAGAGAUAGGAAGGGAAAGGAAGAGAGAGAAGAAGAUUUUGGUUACUUAGCUAAUUUGAGUUUUUUGUUUGGUUAUGGGAUGCAAUUUCCCUUAAAAAUAUCUAGUGGAAGGAUCACACUUAGAAGCGUUUCAGUAUUUAAUUCAGCUAUAUACAACAUAGAUGGAUUUGUUUGAUAAACUUCAAGACAUGAUCUGGUAGAGACACUCGUAAGCUACACAGCGUACACUGAUGUGGUCGAUUAAGGAGAGAUUAAUAAUCUUCACAAAUGUUAAUAAGUGGACCGUAGCAAUUAUAGGCCCAUUUAUCCCAACUUAGGCCCAUUUAAAUUAAAAACGGUCAUCUACAUCGACGCUUCCUACUCAAGAGAACUCGUUCCCUUCUCCGCCGCAAACAUGAGGCUUCUUCGCCGCCGUUUCUUUAUCUUCACCGAUGGAAUUUCCGGAGCCAACCGGCGAAGAUACGCAACCAAGUAUGUCGCCAAGGUCACUUCAUCAUCUCCCUCCGGCCGUUCUCUGUCCGCCGAAGUUUCCCUUCCUAAUCCCCUCCCCUCCGACGUACGCGGCUACGCUCUCCCUCGGCGUCACCUCAUCUGCCGAGCAACCAAUCUCCUUCUCCGCCACGAAACCUCUUCAAUAGAGAAAGAGAAUGGAGAGUUGUGUGAAUUGUUGUGGAGAGACGUAUGAAUUGUUGCGAGAAAGAGAAUAAUAGAGAAAGAGAAUGGAGAAAAGUGUGAAAUGUUGUGAGAUAGAGAAAGUACAUUAAACACAGAAACAAAGAAACUUAAACAGUUAGACUUAUACUUAUAUAAAUUAGCUAGACAGAAAGUCAUUGAAUAGCUUCUGCUUGAGUGCUUCUUCAUAGUCAACAAGAGGUUCUUUUUCGCAAUCAGACUGUCAAGAAGAUUCAUCUUCGACAACCUUUCCUUCAUUGUCAAAUUUUGUUGUUUAAUAGACCACAUACUUUCAAACUCAUUCAGUGCAUUCUCCUCUGCCAAUGUCUUCUUACCGCGAGCCUUUGCGGCCUUAACACCCGGCGGACGCUUGUUCUCAGUAGCUUGAGAGCCUGACGAAGCAGCACCGUCAUCACACUUCAUCUUCUUAGAGAUCCCAUCGUUUUUAGCAGUAGCAAGGUCGCACCACUUCUGGUCGUCCCGGAGCUCCUUCCAAACGCGUUCCAGUGUGAAUUUCUUUUUAUGGUUAUUGUAGGAAAUUUGAUGAGCUAGUUUCAGAACGUCAUUAUCGUUUUGACCGCUACUCUUCUCUCUGCUUGCAUCUUCAAAGGCUCAACAAAACUUGCAAACAAGAUCAUUGAUCUUGUACCAUCGUUGCUUGCAAUGACUAGGCUCUCUCUGCUCGCAGCCAGCUACUGGAGGUCUUGCCGCAAAGUACGCUGCUACUCUUGUCCAGAAAGCGCCUGAUUUUUUCUCGUUGUUGACGACUGGAUUUUUGCUCGUGUUUAACCACGAGCUGAUGAGGAGAAUAUCAUUCGUUGGCGUCCACUUCCGUCGUUCUCUAUGCUCCAUAGCAGUCUCUCCACCAUCUUCGGUUCCUAGCGUGCUUUGAAACAAAGGUUGUGAUGAAGAUAGUGAGGCACUAUCUUCAUAGUUACCGAACGAAAUGCUUUGUUGACUAUGAAGUAGUUCAACAUAUUUUUAACUCUGGGUAGAUGGAUAAGAAUCCAUAUCCGAAGUAAGCUCAAGGAAGAGAGAAAAAAAGAAGAAAGUGGGAAGAGAAUCACACGGUUUGAACAAGGAAGAGAUAAAGAAAAGAAGUGAGGUGAGAAAGUAGGAAGAGAAGAGACACGAUUUAUGUAAGGAAGGGAAGGAUCAAUGCAUUGAUCACAACCACCCAUAACCGAGUAGACAUAUAUCUAAAAGCAUUCAUCACACAACCCCCUUCUACACAGAACACCAAAUCAAUUUAUUACCUAAACCUACCAUUAUCUCACACAAACCACUUAAACAUCUAUUUAAUACCUAACCUAACACAAAACUACAAUUCAAUUCUAUCCAGACAUGAGUAAAAAUCAACAACAAUCAUACCAUAUUUCACAAACCACCAACCAAUAUAUUUAUCAUGAUUAAUCCUAUUUAACAUAGCAAAGAAAAAGGUUUAAUCCAAUUCAAAAUUCAUUUCAAACAACCAUUAAAAUAAAAAACAAUCGCAUCAUAACUCACAAACCAACAACAAAUUUAAGCAAUGGUUUAUCUAAUUCAACAGAGCCAAGAGAAAGUUUAAUCCAAUUCAAAUGAUCAAAGAGAAAGGUUUUACCUUUAUGAACAAGAAGUGUGGAGUUUUGUCUGACAAAGAGAAAGGUUUAUCCUUGAUCGUGCCUCUUUCUCAAUCACUCGCAAGACACAAAAACAGAAAAAAAAUAUCAAAACAAAUCAGAGGACUGGACUUCUUAAGAUUCACGAUGAAAGAGCACAAUCAAAGACAUGCAUAAUUGAAAUAUUCAAACAUUAAAACAUAUGAACUCAUCUUUACCUUUCGAAUCACUGUUUUCCUUCGUUUCCGAGAGCCUCCACGAGAGAGAUCUCGCUGUUAUCCUUCGUCGAGAAGAGCAACCGAUAGAGGGGACGCCGUUUUACUUCGAGAGACGCCGAUUCGUUGAGAAGAGCCACCGACCGGGAGAAAUAUCGCUAUUUUCGUUGCCAAGGAGACGAGAGAAGGAAGAGAGAAAGAAGGAAAAGAGAGAAAAAGACGAAACCGUGAGACACCACCUCUCUUCUCUCCAAUGCUUUUGUUUUGACUGCUUAAUUAAGUGAAGGGUCUUACCUUAAUGACCGUUUUGUUCUUUUUUUUAAAUGAUAAAAUCAAAUGUAAGCUAAGAUAAACGUGCUCUUAAAAUUCUUAUUCUGAUAUAGUCGGCUCCGUGAACUAAUUCAUCUGAUGGGCCAACCCCAUAUAAACAUUUGGGCCUAUGAUAAGCAAUACGUAAGCAGCAAAACUCGCAGUCUCUCUCACCUUCUCAAUUCAUCUCUUCCCUUCCCUUCCGAUUUAGGGUUUCCACAGUCGCCAUGUAUCGCACGGCAGCUUCACGAGCCAGGGCUCUCAAGGUUUGUUACCUUAGCCUUUGAUCGUUUCACGAUUGAUGUUCUCUUGUAAGCGUCUGGAACCUUCGCGUAGUGAAUAGAUUCGUCCUGAUUCGGAUUAUUCUUAUUCCGAUUGAAUUACCCGCGACGAUGGGACUGUUAUUACUGCUUAGGCUUACGAGUGAUCGAGUCUUUGUUUCGCAGUUUCUGAAGUCAAAUCUAACUAGAAAUGGAUUUGCCUCUAUCGUUUCAAAUGGAUCGUAUUCUUGUUUUGUGAUAGGGAUCUCUUAGCCGGAGUUUGAGACCGGCGCGUUAUGCAAGUUCAAGUGCCGUUGCGACUAGUUCUUCUUCUUCUUCUCCAGGUUUCUUCAGCUGGUUGACUGGUGGAUCAUCUUCUUCGCUUAAUUCAUUGGACAUGCCACUACAGGGUGUGUCUCUUCCUCCACCACUUGCUGACCUUGUUGAGCCAAGCAAACUUAAGAUCACUACUCUCCCAAAUGGUCUCAAAAUCGCCUCCGAGAUGUCUCCCGUAAGUAAAUCUUAUGUUUACUUCUCUGAAGAUAGAAUCUUUUAAAAUGCGGUAAAUGAACUGAACGAAGUUAUUAUCUUGGUGUGUUAGAAUCCAGCAGCUUCCAUUGGUUUGUAUGUUGAUUGUGGUUCUAUCUACGAAGCUCCUUAUUUCCAUGGAGCAACGCAUUUGCUUGAGAGGAUGGCUUUCAAGAGCACGAGAAACAGGAGCCAUCUACGUCUCGUGAGGGAGAUUGAGGCUAUUGGAGGCAACACCUCCGCAUCUGCGUCUCGGGAGCAGAUGAGUUACACUAUUGAUGCUCUUAAGACCUAUGUCCCUGAAAUGGUUGAAGUUCUUAUUGACAGUGUGAGGAACCCUGCUUUCUUGGAUUGGGAAGUCAACGAAGAG
rnacentral:lncRNA from 1 species